UGAACGCUGGCGGCGUGCCUAAUACAUGCACGUCGAGCGCACGGACGAGAAGCUUGCUUCUCUGAUGUUAGCGGCGGACGGGUGAGUAACACGUGGAUAACCUACCUAUAAGACUGGGAUAACUUCGGGAAACCGGAGCUAAUACCGGAUAAUAUUUUGAACCGCAUGGUUCAAAAGUGAAAGGCGGUCUUGCUGUCACUUAUAGAUGGAUCCGCGCUGCAUUAGCUAGUUGGUAAGGUAACGGCUUACCAAGGCAACGAUGCAUAGCCGACCUGAGAGGGUGAUCGGCCACACUGGAACUGAGACACGGUCCAGACUCCUACGGGAGGCAGCAGUAGGGAAUCUUCCGCAAUGGGCGAAAGCCUGACGGAGCAACGCCGCGUGAGUGAUGAAGGUCUUCGGAUCGUAAAACUCUGUUAUUAGGGAAGAACAUAUGUGUAAGUAACUGUGCACAUCUUGACGGUACCUAAUCAGAAAGCCACGGCUAACUACGUG
rnacentral:rRNA from 1 species